rnacentral:lncRNA from 1 species
AUUCAGUUUCGUUUUGUUUAUUGUCGAGUAAGUGUUCGCUGUUUAGUUUCUUUCAAGAAAAUCAAGAAGAAUGAGGUAAAAACUAUUAUCUGAAUCAGAGCAUUGUAAUCCCACGAUCGUGUGUCACUUAGCAGUGCGUCCGGCGAAAGUGUUUCUAGACCAAUAACAGUUGAGCUGAGUCUAGCGACGAUGAAGUCGAGUUUGUCUCAGAAACAUUUUCAACUUUCAAGGAUCCAUGGACCACACGGGUUAUUGUCGAGCCUGUCCAGAAUAAGAUUUGCAAACAUUACUACGAAAGGAAAACCGUCUUUGCCGUGAUCAAGCGCAAGAAGUAUGUCCGUUGCCCGUUCAUUGGGUGUGCCAACGAGAGCUGCAUCGAGCCCGUGCAUCUGCUGGAGGAUUCGGAUGUUGUAAAGAAGGCUCACCACGAGGCUCACCAUUCGCAGAAUCAGACUUCAGAUGAUUGUACCAUAGAUUCCGAUUUCUCGAGUUAAAUUUACAUUUUACACAAUUUAAACGUUCAGCCAAAGAGUAUUCCACACAGUUUUAAUUGAAUUUAAAAAUUCUUGCGAUUUUCUUGGGAGUCAUUUUGGAGCCAUUCAGAUGUGGGUCGUGCAUUGAUAGCUCCAGCAAUUGUUCGCUGUCGC